rnacentral:rRNA from 1 species
CCUACGGGGGGCAGCAGUGGGGAAUAUUGCGCAAUGGGCGAAAGCCUGACGCAGCGACGCCGCGUGGGUGAUGAAGGCCUUCGGGUCGUAAAGCCCUGUCGGGAGGGAAGAAACCUCGGUGACCUAAUACGUCGCCGACCUGACGGUACCUCCAAAGGAAGCACCGGCUAACUCCGUGCCAGCAGCCGCGGUAAUACGGAGGGUGCAAGCGUUGUUCGGAAUCACUGGGCGUAAAGCGCGUGUAGGCGGCCUCUUAAGGCUGAGGUGAAAGCCCGGGGCUCACCCCCGGAAGGACAUUGGAAACUGGGAGGCUCGAGUACCGGAGAGGAAGGUGGAAUUCCUGGUGUAGCGGUGAAAUGCGUAGAUAUCAGGAGGAACACCGGUGGCGAAGGCGGCCUUCUGGAGGGAUACUGACGCUGAGACGCGAAAGCGUGGGGAGCAAACAGGAUUAGAUCCCCCUGUAUU